CGGCGAACGGGUGAGUAACACGUGGGCAACCUGCCCUCAGCUCUGGGAUAACUCCGGGAAACCGGGGCUAAUACCGGAUACGACUUCCUGCGGCAUCACGGGAAGUGGAAAGUUUUUCGGCUGAGGAUGGGCCCGCGGCCUAUCAGCUUGUUGGUGGGGUAAUGGCCCACCAAGGCGACGACGGGUAGCCGGCCUGAGAGGGCGACCGGCCACACUGGGACUGAGACACGGCCCAG
rnacentral:rRNA from 1 species